rnacentral:rRNA from 1 species
UACGUAGGGCGCAAGCGUUAUCCGGAAUUAUUGGGCGUAAAGAGCUCGUAGGCGGUCUGUCGCGUCCGUUGUGAAACUCGAGGCUCAAACCUCGGGCCUGCAGUGGGUACGGGCAGACUAGAGUGCGGUAGGGGAGAUUGGAAUUCCGUGGUGUAGCGGUGGAAUGCGCAGAGUAUCAGGAGGAACACCAUAGGCGAAGGCAGAUCUCUGGGCCGUAACUGACGCUGAGGAGCGAAAGCAUGGGGAGCGAACAGG